UAGGGAAUAUUGCACAAUGGAGGAAACUCUGAUGCAGCGACGCCGCGUGAGUGAUGAAGGCCUUCGGGUUGUAAAGCUCUGUCGCACAGGAAUAAGAAAGUGAAUGUACUGUGCAAGAAAGGAUCGGCUAACUUCGUGCCAGCAGCCGCGGUAAGACGAGGGAUCCUAGCGUUGUUCGGAAUCAUUGGGCGUAAAGCGGGUGCAUGUUGCUCGAUAAGUCAGGUGUGAAAUCCCAGGGCUCAACCCUGGA
rnacentral:rRNA from 1 species